rnacentral:rRNA from 1 species
UACGAAGGGGGCUAGCGUUGCUCGGAAUUACUGGGCGUAAAGCGCACGUAGGCGGCUUUCUAAGUCGGGGGUGAAAUCCUGGAGCUCAACUCCAGAACUGCCUUCGAUACUGGAGAGCUUGAGUCCGGGAGAGGUGAGUGGAACUGCGAGUGUAGAGGUGAAAUUCGUAGUUAUUCGCAAGAACACCAGUGGCGAAGGCGGCUCACUGGCCCGGUACUGACGCUGAGGUGCGAAAGCGUGGGGAGCAAACAGG